rnacentral:rRNA from 1 species
CCUACGGGAGGCAGCAGUGGGGAAUUUUCCGCAAUGGGCGAAAGCCUGACGGAGCAAUACCGCGUGAGGGAGGAAGGCUCUUGGGUUGUAAACCUCUUUUUUCAGGGAAGAUAAUGACGGUACCUGAGGAAUAAGCAUCGGCUAACUCCGUGCCAGCAGCCGCGGUAAUACGGAGGAUGCAAGCGUUAUCCGGAAUGAUUGGGCGUAAAGCGUCCGCAGGUGGUUUUAAAAGUCUGUUGUUAAAGCGUGAGGCUUAACCUCAUAAGGGCAAUGGAAACUGUAAGACUAGAGUACGUUCGGGGCAAGGGGAAUUCCCAGUGUAGCGGUGAAAUGCGUAGAGAUUGGGAAGAACACCGGUGGCGAAAGCGCCUUAGCUAGGCCGUAACUGACACUGAGGGACGAAAGCUAGGGGAGCGAAUGGGAUUAGAUACCCCAGUAGUCCUAGCCGUAAACGAUGGAUACUAGGCGUUGUCUGUAUCGACCCGGACAGUGCCGUAGCUAACGCGUUAAGUAUCCCGCCUGGGGAGUACGCACGCAAGUGUGAAACUCAAAGGAAUUGACGG